GUAGGGAAUAUUGGGCAAUGGUCGGAAGACUGACCCAGCCAUGCCGCGUGCAGGAAGACGGCCCUCUGGGUUGUAAACUGCUUUUAUCUGGGAAGAAAAAGGCCAUGCGUGGCAAAUUGCCGGUACCAGAUGAAUAAGCACCGGCUAACUCCGUGCCAGCAGCCGCGGUAAUACGGAGGGUGCGAGCGUUGUCCGGUUUUAUUGGGUUUAAAGGGUGCGUAGGCGGCUGAUUAAGUCAGCGGUGAAAGACUUCGGCUUAACCGGAGCAGUGCCGUUGAUACUGGUUGGCUUGAGUGUCGGAGGGGUACAUGGAAUUGAUGGUGUAGCGGUGAAAUGCAUAGAUACCAUCAGGAACACCGAUAGCGAAGGCAUUGUACUGGCCGACAACUGACGCUGAUGCACGAAAGUGUGGGGAUCGAACAGGAUUAGAUACCCCAGUAGUCC
rnacentral:rRNA from 1 species